rnacentral:pre_miRNA from 1 species
UAUGUACUCCCUCCGUUCCGAAUUACUCGUCGCAGAAAUGGAUGUAUCUAGAUGUAUUUUAGUUCUAGAUACAUCCAUUUCUGAGACGAGUAAUUUGGAACGGAGGGAGUAUGUA